AUUGAACGCUGGCGGCAGGCCUAACACAUGCAAGUCGAACGAGUGGCGGACGGGUGAGUAAUGUCUGGGAAACUGCCUGAUGGAGGGGGAUCACUACUGGAAACGGAAGCUAAUACCGCAUACUAUCCGAUGAGCCUAGAUCGGAUUAGCUAGUUGGUGGGUUAAAGGCCAACCAAGGCGACGAUCCGUAACUGGUCUGAGAGGAUGAUCAGUCACACGGGAACUGAGACACGGCCCAGACUCCUACGGGAGGAAGCAGUGGGGAAUAUUGGACAAGGGGCGAAAGCCUGAUGCAGCCAUGCCGCGGGUGUGAAGAAGGCCUUCGGGUUGUAAAGUACUUUAAGCGGGGAGGCGUUACCAGCAGAAGAAGCACCGGCUAACUUCGUGCCAGCAGCCGCGGUAAUUC
rnacentral:rRNA from 1 species